GGAAAGACCGGUGAGAAUCCGGCACUGUCGCGCAACGGUUACGGCCCCGGGCAAACGGGGCCGAAGUCCGAACACC
rnacentral:ncRNA from 1 species